AAAAACGGGAGGAGGAAGCCCCCCCCCCAUUUUCUCUUCUCUUCCUUUCCUUCCCUCUCUUCUUCUUCUUCCUUUCUCCGGUGACCGGCCGGCGACGUCCCAAGCAGCUCCCCACCGGCCGGCGACCCUCCGGCAACCACCAGGACCACCAGAAACGGCGGCAAGAGAGGGAGAGGAGAGAGAAAACGCGCGCACAGUGGGCAGCGGCUUUCCGGCGCGAUUCCGGCUUCGUCCGACGUCCGAUCGAGGCGAUUCCGGUGGCGUUGGAAAGCUUGUUCCGAGAGCUUUCUUUUGACACCAAUUUUGAAGCAAAUGGAGGUCGGAUGAGUGAGAUAUGGAGGAGAGAAGUUUCGGGUUUUUCAAGCUUUUUCGUCAGAUCUACGACGAUCCGACCGUUGGAUCGACGAUCCGAGACCACAUAUGUACUGAGGAAGAGGAGAGGAACAUGGUGGUAUGAUCAGAUUCGGCAAAUGUCGCCGGCGGCCGGCCACCGUGCGCGGUGGUGCCGGCGGUGGCCCGGUGAGCUAUGGAGAUGGUUCAACUUCCAGAGGCUUCCUCAUAAAUUUUUGGAAUUUUUGAGACACAGAUAAACUUCGGGUGAUCGAGAUCAACUAUUUUCCUGCAUCCAGCAGCCACAAUAGUCGACGGUGUACUGUGAUCGAGAUCAACUAUUUUCCUGCAUCCAGCAGCCACAAUAGUCGACGGUGUACUGCCACAGGAGGAUAUUUUGUUCUGGGUUAACCUGCCUUUUUACCUCGCAGGUUGUUUAUCAAUAUUGUGUAAUUUCAAUUACUCCUAGAAUUUCCGCAUGUGUUAGCAGUAAUUAUUUGAAAUUGGUCUGUAAUAUUAUAUUCAUGUUGGACCUGUAAACUUAAUAUUUUAAGUCUGUUUGAUGGAUUGGAUGAGGGAGCUGAGCUCCCAUUUAUUAUUA